rnacentral:rRNA from 1 species
UGGGGAAUUUUGGACAAUGGGCGAAAGCCUGAUCCAGCAAUGCCGCGUAAGUGAAGAAGGCCUUCGGGUUGUAAAGCUCUUUUGUCAGGGAAGAAACGGUGAAAGCUAAUAUCUUUUGCUAAUGACGGUACCUGAAGAAUAAGCACCGGCUAACUACGUGCCAGCAGCCGCGGUAAUACGUAGGGUGCAAGCGUUAAUCGGAAUUACUGGGCGUAAAGCGUGCGCAGGCGGUUUUGUAAGUCUGAUGUGAAAUCCCCGGGCUCAACCUGGGAAUUGCAUUGGAGACUGCAAGGCUAGAAUCUGGCAGAGGGGGGUAGAAUUCCACGUGUAGCAGUGAAAUGCGUAGAUAUGUGGAGGAACACCGAUGGCGAAGGCAGCCCCCUGGGUCAAGAUUGACGCUCAUGCACGAAAGCGUGGGGAGCAAACAGGAUUAGAUACCCUGGUAGUCCACGCCCUAAACGAUGUCUACUAGUUGUCGGGUCUUAAUUGACUUGGUAACGCAGCUAACGCGUGAAGUAGACCGCCUGGGGAGUACGGUCGCAAGAUU